rnacentral:rRNA from 1 species
GCUGAGAGGUGGUGCAUGGCGUCGUCAGUUCGUACUGUGAAGCAUCCUGUUAAGUCAGGCAACGAGCGAGACCCACGUCCACAGUUGCCAGCAUACCCUCCGGGGUGAUGGGUACACUGUGGAGACCGCCGCUGCUAAAGCGGAGGAAGGAGUGGGCAACGGUAGGUCAGUAUGCCCCGAAUCUCCCGGGCUACACGCGGGCUACAAUGGUUGGUACAAUGGGCAUCUACCCCGAAAGGGAAGGAAAUCUCUUAAAGCCAACCGUAGUUCGGAUUGAGGGCUGCAACUCGCCCUCAUGAAGCUGGAAUCCGUAGUAAUCGCGUUUCAACAGAACGCGGUGAAUACGUCCCUGCUCCUU